UAUGAGCUCAUCAUUUGGGAAAGGACUGUGUAGUCACAGUGCUAGGAAGAGAUGGCCCACCCUAACGGGUCACAGUGGACAAACCCCUUUUAUAUAUCUGCUUGGGAAAAUCCCCCUAGGACAAAACUAAAUUACCACCAGGAACAACAGGUGGGCAGUUUCAACUCAACCCCAAAACAACAGCAAGCAGCAAAAGAGAAAUUCAAAAAGCAAGAGAUGGCACGACAAAGAUUUAGCAGGAGUCCGAGUCCCAGCCAGAACCACUCCAUCAGUCCUUGGAGGAGAAGCGGGAGCCCACAACUUUCGAGGACCCAAUUCUAUGGGAGGAGAAAGGCCCAGAUCAAUGGGAGGAGAAGGGAACAAUUUGGGAGGAAAAGGGUCCACUUCUUUGGGAGAAAGGUCCAUUACUAUGGGAGAAAGAGAGGGAGGAGAGGAGGAUAUAGAAGACUCUCUAAUAGAAGGAGGAGGAGAAGAUAGAAAACUCACCACGUCAAUAGAGCUGUUCUUACCUGGGAGUUUAAAAGCAAAAAAAAAAUCUUCAAUCCCCUUCAAAGUUGUUCAGUACACACCAAAAGAAAAAACCAAGAUUCCCACUCAAGUGUCUGAGGUCUGAGAGAAACUAAUGGAUCCAAAUAGUCAAAUGCCUGCCACCUGUCAAUAAAUCCUGAAAAUUACUCGUUGUCAGAUCCACUUUCUUGCACCUAAGAAGACUUUGCUCGUCACCUAGCUUGCAUGCUUGUGCACGGCCACCUUGGAUGGACAGUUGGUGGGUCACAUUUCUCCUAGGAAGAGAGGAGUUUAAAAGGGGGGGGGGGGCGGUAAAAAGAGUAGUUAGAAGCCCUUCAAGGGUAAUCUGGUGUGAUGUUGCAGGGACAAAAAUAGCCUUUACAUUUUUUCUUAUAUUUUAAUUGGAAUCCUGCUCCAAGCUAAGGAAAUGACACCAAAUCCUAAAGAUUCUAGAGUUCAGCUUUCAAGUCUCUUUGAAAAGAAGAGCUGGAAAAUCAAUGGACAUUUUUAGUUGAAAAAAAGUUACCUCUGAUCUUCAACAACAUAUUAACCAAGGAUCAAUGUGUGUUAAAGACAGACCAACCUCCCUCCCACCCCCACCUCACCCUCCAAAAUCUUAUGUUAAAGACAAUUAUCUUUAACUCCCAGGAUUCCUCUUUCCCAUAUAUCCCACAAAGAAUUUCAGAGAAAAAGCAUUAUUUUUUCUAUGUCCAGGUCCAGGUUUGUGGGUCCCAAACUGUUUUACAAACAGGGUCUUCAAACUGGUCAUAACACUACCCUGUUUCCCUGAAUGUAUCAUGCACCUGGGAUAGUAGAAAGAGAACACCAAAAAAUACCUUUUGUUCUUAAUAUAAUGAAAAGCACUGUGAAGUACCAUGGGUUCUAGAAUCACAGGACCUUGGUUCAAAUUGCCUCUGAUACUUAAUAACAUACUCAUAUAGCACUAUGUGUCUGGCACUGUGCUUAAGUGCUUAGCAAUUAUAUUUUCAUUUGAUCCUCACACUAACUCUGGGAGGAGAUACUCCUUCUCCUCCCCUUGUGCAAGUGGGAGAAAAGGACCAGAAAAAGAAAACAAUCUACAGUCAUGUUGUUGGAGACAAUACCGGCAAAAACAUUUGUAUCCAGGGCUCUCCAUCCAAGGAGGUGGAGAAUGGCGCUUUAUUUUUGUAUCUCCUCCAAUUCUUCAAUUCAGUCCUUCGAGCUUUAAGAUUAUUAGCUAAGAGCAAGACUGGAAUCAUCCUCUUUCAAAAAACAGAGGGAGGGGUUCAUGCACCAUACACCAUGAUGAGACAUCAGAGUAAGAUUUUAUUGGUGGCUUUAUCAUUUGUGGUGGUUUGUUUGUUGAGAAUGAGACUGAAUGGAUUGAUUUCCUUUCUAUUGUUACAUGCCUUUAGGGUUUUUCCUUUUGUUGGAUUGAGAAGAUGAGGUUGGUCUAGGUAGACAUGAGAAAGUAGGGCAGAUUGAUUCCACAGUCUGGCCUUAAAAGUGAAAGGGGGCUGGGAUUAGUGAGAAAGGGCAAGCAGACCAAUUUGCUUUGUGAUGCGGCCUUUCAUGCCCCUCCCUCAACACCUAUUUGCUUCCCUUCCCCUCCCCACCUCCCCAUUCCUGGCUCCACCAUCAGGGAAAAAUCAAGAAAGAGUCAUCCUUGGAAGAGGUUGAAGUGAAGUGGCUUAGCUGGAAGUGAUGGGCUCCAGCUGUACCAAGCUAGGGGAGCAGGGCCAGAAAUAUGAGUCCCUGAAAAGGUGGUUGGCCUGUGUCACUGAGGACAACUUCUCUUUGUCAUCGGAAGAGGGAGAGAGGGAAGAAGAGCUUCCAAAACUCCAAGGAAAGCUUCUUCUGAUGGAGGAAGAGUCCUCCCCAAAGGAAUGUUAUCCUAUCAAAAAGGAAGAACAGACCUGCCCAAAAGUAUAGACAGCAGCCCAUUUUUCUCAGCCAUAAUCUGACUGACCACCAGAGCCACUGAAGAGAAAGAAAGAAUGGAUUUGUAAUGUAAGAACCAAGAAGAACCCCAUUCUGGAAAAAAAAAAAACACAACAAUAAAAAGGCUUCUCCAAGGAAUUUCAUUUCUCACCCCUCUGGUCCUACUUCUCGGUCUGGUUAGAGAGAGGUCCUUAGGGACUUGGGGAUCAGAAAUGAGCAGGUCAAGAAGAACAUUAAGACAUACCUGAU
ensembl:lncRNA